GGUCCUCCAGGACGAGCUGGAAAGUGUCGCUGGGGAGAGGGAUGUCUGGGUUUCUCUCCUGGACCURUUGCCUCCACGACCUGACUACAGAUAAGCAGAAGAAGAAGAAGAUGGCGAUAUAUACAACUUCUAAAAUCUGCUUUGACAGUACUGCUUCACUUAUUUAUAUAAAGGUACAGGUUCCCUGGGUGUUUUUUGAAGACAUGGACAAGGAUGAAACCUUACCUGAUUAGCUGAAGAAGAAAAACUCGAGGAGCAACGUCUGAAGCCAUGAAGUCAGAUGAACGCGGAGAUGUUAUGAGCGGAGAAGAGCAGCGUGACGAGCAUGAAGGAGACUCAGAAUGAGACCACUGAGGAUGAUUACUUUAUGAUUCUGACAUUUGCUGACAAUAAACCACCUGGGUGGAAAAUGAAAUCA